AAGGAUUCCCCUAGUAACUGCGAGUGAAGCGGGAAAAGCUCAAAUUUAAAAUCUGACAGUUUCACUGUCCGAGUUGUAAUCUGGAGAAGCAUUUUCCGCGUCGGACCGUGUACAAGUUUCUUGGAAUAGAAUGUCAUAGAGGGUGAGAAUCCCGUCCAUGACACGGACUACCGAUGCUUUGUGAUAUGCUCUCGAAGAGUCGAGUUGUUUGGGAAUGCAGCUCAAAAUGGGUGGUAAAUUCCAUCUAAAGCUAAAUAUUGGCGAGAGACCGAUAGCGAACAAGUACCGUGAGGGAAAGAUGAAAAGCACUUUGGAAAGAGAGUUAAACAGUACGUGAAAUUGUUGAAAGGGAAACGCUUGAAGUCAGUCGCGUUGGCAGAGACUCAGCCUUGCUUUGCAUGGUGUACUUCUCAGUUAACGGGUCAACAUCAAUUUCAGUUGGUGGAUAAAGGCAUUGGGAAUGUGGCACCUUCGGGUGUGUUAUAGACCUUUGUUGCAUACACUGACCGGGAUUGAGGAACGCAGCACGCCACUACGGCCAGGGAUUCGUCCCAUGUAACGUGCUUAGGAUGUUGGCAUAAUGGCUUUAAGCGACCCGUCUUGAAACACGGACCAAGGAGUCUAACAUGCCUGCGAGUAUUAGGGUGGAAAACCCUUGUGCGUAAUUAACGUGAAAGUUGGGACCUCUUGCGAGGGCACCGACGCCCGGCCCUGAAGUUUACUGACGGCGCUGCGGUAGAGCAUGUAUGUUGGGACCCGAAAGAUGGUGAACUAUGCCUGAAUAGGGUGAAGCCAGGGGAAACUCUGGUGGAGGCUCGUAGCGAUUCUGACGUGCAAAUCGAUCGUCAAAUUUGGG
rnacentral:rRNA from 1 species